rnacentral:lncRNA from 1 species
CUUCUCAUUACUGCUCAAUAAUGUUUGUCAGAUGAAUGAAGACAAUAAAGCAAAAAUGCAGUUUGAAGACUGUGACUGAAGUAGUCUCGGCCCCCUUCACCCACCAGAGAUGUGAAAGAUACAUGAAGCAGAGACUCAUCUGUGAGACCAGAGGAUGGGACACAGCCCAGUUUGCCAGGGCAGUCCCAGUUUGUAGCGGCCUGCAAGGUAGAAGGGACACCAUGUGGGGUGUCCUUUGUCUGGAGGCUGCUCUGCAUUUCUGGUACGGACAGUCUGCCUGCUGCUGCCUCUUCCCUCUACAGGUGUAUUAG